AAAAGUAGUUAAAGUAAAGGGUGUCCAAACCCUAGCCGCUUACAAACUCGGUGACGCACACAGACCCAUCUUCCUCACUACUGCUCCUUCUUCAAUAGAUAAACCCUAAACAUCCUCACCUCUCAUAACCUUAACUCCUCUGCUUAACAACAACAAAAAAAAAAGACAUCACCCUUUCACUCUCUCGUGAUGCUCUGGACCGGCGAGCCGACAGGCCACACACACUCCCCUCCACCGCCGAUUCACCUCCCUCAUAACUCUGUGAUUCCGACCUGUAACAGUGGUGAUGACGAGACACACAUGACACAGCCAAACAACCCCAUCCCCCCUCGUUUUAUACCUGCUACAUAAAAGGCUCGCGAGCCCUCUGCCCUUUUCUGAGCUCCGGCGACCGGAGCUGUGUCUCCGAUUGGCGGCGUUUGGCGGCUGCAACAACGACGGACGAAGGUGAGCGUCGGCGGCAGCGACGUCUGGUUCCGACGACUGCCCGUCUGCGGCGGUGGGCGACACGAUUAGUGGUGGUGAUGGUUACUUUUGGUGUCCUGGUCAAAUAGUGGUUCGGUUCACACUGUUCAGUUCGUUUCAAAUUCAGCUCGGGUCAUGUCCCGGUACAGUUCAGAUUUCGCGUCAUGCUCGGCUCGGGUUUUGGUUUUGUUACAGUGCGGGUCAGAUUCAGUGUGCGAGUCAACUCAGAUUCAAAGGGUGACCUUGGUGUUCCAUCCUCCCAAACUAGCACACUCGUCAACACUUGGAUAAUCGGAAGACUUAGCGAUUCUGUUGAGGAUGAUGAUGCUAAGAAAUGAAGUAGCGUUGAUGCCUA